UUACUUUAUUAGGAUGGGAUUGGGAAGGACGAUGGGAGAGCGAAGGCAGAGGAGCAAAAGCACCCAAAACAACGAGAGAAAUCAAGAAUAUGAAUACUGCCAUCGCAAUAAUUAUUCUUAGGCUUCCCUUUUUUGCCAUUCUUGUGCAUAUGAUCGAUGCCAGUAUUAACUGAAAUGGGGUUGCUAUUUUUACAGCCCAGAUGAUGAGUCAUUCACAUUGGGUGGUAGGAUAAGUCAACUCUGUCAUUAUCCAUUUUGAUCUCGUGGGAUUAUGAAAUAAUGACGUUCAGGUUUUGUGGUUCGAUUCGAUUCAUUCGAUUGAUUGUGAGAAUCAGAUGGAAUUGAUGGAUUUUAGUUCAGUUUUUUUUGUUUGGAAAAGGAAUUGCGGAAGUGUGAGCUGUUAAAUUUUCUUAUUUUG
rnacentral:lncRNA from 1 species